UGAGGAAUAUUGGACAAUGGGUGAGAGCCUGAUCCAGCCAUCCCGCGUGAAGGACGAUGGCCCUAUGGGUUGUAAACUUCUUUUGUAUAGGGAUAAACCUUUCCACGUGUGGAAAGCUGAAGGUACUAUACGAAUAAGCACCGGCUAACUCCGUGCCAGCAGCCGCGGUAAUACGGAGGGUGCAAGCGUUAUCCGGAUUUAUUGGGUUUAAAGGGUCCGUAGGCGGAUCUGUAAGUCAGUGGUGAAAUCUCAUAGCUUAACUAUGAAACUGCCAUUGAUACUGCAGGUCUUGAGUAAAGUAGAAGUGGCUGGAAUAAGUAGUGUAGCGGUGAAAUGCAUAGAUAUUACUUAGAACACCAAUUGCGAAGGCAGGUCACUAUGUUUUAACUGACGCUGAUGGACGAAAGCGUGGGGAGCGAACAGG
rnacentral:rRNA from 1 species